UACGAAGGGGGCUAGCGUUGCUCGGAAUCACUGGGCGUAAAGGGCGCGUAGGCGAUCGUGACAAGUCACUUGUGAAAUCUCCGGGCUUAACUCGGAACGGUCAAGUGAUACUGUCGGACUAGAGUACAGAAGGGGCAACUGGAAUUCUCGGUGUAGCGGUGAAAUGCGUAGAUAUCGGGAGGAACACCAGUGGCGAAGGCGACUACCUGGCCUGUUCUUGACGGCU
rnacentral:rRNA from 1 species